UGUGGAAAGCCUGCGACCGGAAGUUGCGACUUUUAUCACGACCACUACUAACUGGACAUUUCUGUUCAACAUGUCUCCUUCGCAGACUCAUCCCUGCCAUUAGAAGGACCGUCCGUGGAAAAAAAACUCCUGCGUGUUCAGGUUAGCAACACAGCUAGCGGGCCGUUGUCAGCCAGGACCCAGAAAAGCAGCAGCAUCAUCAUCAAUGGUGUGUCUACAUCCCGGAGCCGUCACAUUUUCCUGUGUCCGCUCAAUGAACAAUCUCCUCAGCUCUCAUCACAGCUGCACAUGUAUGGCGUUUGCGAGGCUUGGAGGGGAGUUUUGCCAAGCCCAGCACCUUCUGCUUAUUGUGGACAAGUGAACAGGAGACACCAGCUAGGCACAAACACUGCCAUUCACGGACGUAGGUCCUCACUGCCAUCCUGUUCAACCCAUAUGAAGACAAGCCAACCUUCAGCCUAUCACCUGUCCCGGGGAGUAGGGGAGGCUCCGGUUUUAUCUCGGGAGUUUCCUCACAGCUCUUCUCCUCUCCUGCUCAUCCUUUCUCCUUCUUCUUCUUCUUCUACUACUACUCUGAUUCAUACAAGUCUUCUUUGAAUGGGCUAAUAGAUUUGAAAGAAAGCAAGGACAGAUCUUUUAUCUGUCUCUAGUCUUCUUUUGUUUUGUUUUUUCUGCUCCACUUUCUUCACUCUAGUCUUUUCGAUCCCACCGUGCUAGGUUUUAACCAAGCCAAUUUGAGUUUGCCAAGAGAUUUUUUUGAGUUCUUGCCCAAGAAAUUUGUCUUGUCUUUUUUUUUUUUUU